rnacentral:lncRNA from 1 species
CUCCCAAAGCACUAGGAUUAUAGACAUGCGACACUGCACCUGGCCCCUUCCUCUGCACUUUUAUAGCCCAGGGCUACCCCAUCAGAAUGAUCCAGGAAAAAUAUUAUAAAAUCAUUGGCUUCCAAAGAGGUAAUCAAAAAUGACGAAGAAGCAAAAAAUGUAAAAAAAAGAAGAUAUUAUAAAGGUGGAUAUCAGGUAUCCAAUUAAUACAAUUUUAUAUUAGUUUUAUAAUGUUUUCGCAACGUUUUUGAUAUUUGUCAACUUAAAAUAUUUUAAAAUUU